rnacentral:rRNA from 1 species
UACGGGGGGAGCAAGCGUUGUUCGGAUUUACUGGGCGUAAAGGGCGCGUAGGUGGCCAACUAAGUCGGACGUGAAAUCCCUCAGCUUAACUGGGGAACUGCGUCCGAUACUGGAUGGCUUGAGUUUGGGAGAGGGAUGCGGAAUUCCAGGUGUAGCGGUGAAAUGCGUAGAUAUCUGGAGGAAUACCGGUGGCGAAGGCGGCAUCCUGGACCGACAUUGACGCUGAGGAGCGAAAGCCAGGGGAGCAAACGGG